rnacentral:lncRNA from 1 species
UGGUGAUAAUCUUACCAACGUUCACAUCCAUUUGCCUCAACAUACAAUAAAUGACCAGAAUCCGAUGCAAUGUGAUGUCAGAAACAUGAGAGCAUGGCUGGAUGUUGGCAUGAGUAAAUGUCAUCUAGUACUUGGUUAGGGGAGCCAAAUCUGCCUAAGGAUGUUAACUGGUGCUCCAUUAGGGUUUCUCUGAAAAUGCCUCCCAGGGAUGCACAACACUCUCUCAAUAUCUUCAUAAUCCUUGGCCUCCCCAAGUAUAGCUGCAUACCUACACUGCUCUCCUGGCCACUCAGUCCCUAAGAAAGCGUUAAUGGUAUCAGGGUCAUAGCUGAUCAAAUGCCCC